GUGCUUAUUAGAACACGUAUUAUUAAGAAAUCAGGAAAUUUCUGAAUAUAUACAAGAGGAAAGGUGGCGUGUUAAGAAAGGAAACAAGAGCCUUGUGCUUAACUUAAGCCGUUAUUGUACACAGAACUGCGUGAUUUUUUACUAAUGUCAGAUGACUCCAUUUCCGAUGUGUUAAAGUUAUUUAUGUAACGCGUUAUAUUUCGGUAAAUCUGUAAACAUUGGAGUAGA